CUGUAUCUACGGAAACAUCCAUAAUGCAAAGCAAAUAAAAGCUGACCUUUUCUGAUUACUGUUCAGGAAUAGGGCACAACUUCAGGAAGAUCAACCAGGGAACUCCCUACGACUACAACUCUGUGAUGCAGUACCACAGGACUGCCUUCUCUAAGAACGGCCAGCCCACCAUGGUCCCCAUCCCUAAUGCCAACGUGUCCUUUGGCACUGCUAGGGAGAUGAGCCGCAACGA